UCGGGAAUUUUGGGCAAUGGGCGAAAGCCUGACCCAGCAACGCCGCGUGAGGGAUGAAGUAUUUCGGUAUGUAAACCUCGAAAGAAUGGGAAGAAUAAAUGACGGUACCAUUUAUAAGCUCCGGCUAACUACGUGCCAGCAGCCGCGGUAAUACGUAGGGAGCAAGCGUUGUUCGGAUUUAUUGGGCGUAAAGGGCGCGUAGGCGGCGCGGUAAGUCACUUGUGAAAUCUCUGAGCUUAACUCAGAACGGCCAAGUGAUACUGCUGUGCUAGAGUGCGGAAGAGGCUACCGGAAUUCUCGGUGUAGCGGUGAAAUGCGUAGAUAUCAAGAGGAACACCUGAGGCGAAGGCGGGUUGCUGGGCCGACACUGACGCUGAUGCGCGAAAGCCAGGGGAGCAAACG
rnacentral:rRNA from 1 species